rnacentral:rRNA from 1 species
UGCCAGCCGCCGCGGUAAUACGGAGGGGGUUAGCGUUGUUCGGAAUUACUGGGCGUAAAGCACACGUAGGCGGACUAUUAAGUCAGGGGUGAAAUCCCGGGGCUCAACCCCGGAAUUGCCUUUGAUACUGGUAGUCUAGAGUUCGAGAGAGGUGAGUGGAAUUCCGAGUGUAGAGGUGAAAUUCGUAGAUAUUAGGAAGAACACCAGUGGCGAAGGCGGCUUACUGGACCGGUACUGACGCUGAGGUACGAAAGCGUGGGGAGCGAACAGGAUUAGAUA